rnacentral:rRNA from 1 species
UACAGAGGAUGCAAGCGUUAUCCGGAAUGAUUGGGCGUAAAGCGUCUGUAGGUGGCUUUUUAAGUCCGCCGUCAAAUCCCAGGGCUCAACUCUGGACAGGCGGUGGAAACUACCAAGCUGGAGUACGGUAGGGGCAGGUGGAACUUCCGGUGGAGCGGUGAAAUGCGUUGAGAUCGGAAGGAACUCCGGUGGCGAAAGCGGCCUGCUGGAUCUCUACUGACGCUGAGGCGCGAAAGCCGGGGAGCAAAGCGGG